rnacentral:rRNA from 1 species
AGCAACUACCUAGCCCAACUAAUAAAUAUAAAACCCAACAAACAAAUUAUCCUACCAAUAAAUCAACUAAAACAUUUUACCAUCAUAGUAUAGGAGAUAGAAAAGAUAAUUGGAGCUAUAAAGACAGUACCGCGAGGGAAAGAUGAAAAACAUGAAACACUCACCAAGCCAGAAAAAGCAAAGAUUAACUCUUGUACCUUUUGCAUCAUGAUUUAGCCAGUACAUCCAAGCAAAGAGAACUAAAGUCUGAACUCCCGAAACCAAAUGAGCUACUUAAAGGUAGCCUAUACCACCAUGGGCUAAAUCCGUCUCUGUGGCAAAAGAGUGGAGAAACCUUUAAGUAGAGGUGAAAAGCCUAACGAACCUGGUGAUAGCUGGUUGCUCAACAAAAGAAUAUCAGUUCAACCUUAAACCUCCUAACCUAACAACUUUGAAGUAAUAGAAGAGAAGUUUAAGAUAUAUUCAACAGGGGUACAGCCCUGUUGAAAAAGGGUACAACCUAAAAUGCAGGACAAAACAUCAAAGCAAGACCACAGUAGGCCUUAAAGCAGCCAUCUCCAAAGAAAGCGUCAAAGCUCACUACAAUUAAUAUCAACACAAUUUUUUUCCCCUAAACAACAUUGAGCUAUUCUAUCACCAUAGAAGAACUAAUGCUAAAAUGAGUAACAAGAAGACGAAACUUCUCUUCCGCGCCAACUUAAAUCAUAAUAGAUAAACUACUGAUUAUUACAACCAAUAUUAUAAGAUCAACAGUACUUAAUACACCAUAUAAACCCAACUGUUAACCCAACACAGGAGCGCACACAAGAAAGAUUAAAAUUUGUAAAAGGAACUAGGCAAACAUUGAGCUCGACUGUUUACCAAAAACAUAGCCCCUAGCAACAAUAAGUAUUAGGGGUAAUGCCUGCCCAGUGACACUGUUCAACGGCCGCGGUAUCCUAACCGUGCAAAGGUAGCGUAAUCACUUGUCUUUUAAAUAAGGACUAGAAUGAACGGCUAAACGAGGUUCUACCUGUCUCUUACAAAUAAUCAGUGAAAUUGGUCUUCCAGUGCAAAACCUGGAAUAAAAAUAUAAGACGAGAAGACCCUGUGGAACUUUAAAUACAAAUCAAUCUAUUAUUCAUACCCACCCACGAUGGUUUAUCACCAAUUAGCACAUUGAUCCAUAUUUUCGGUUGGGAUGACCUCAGAGUAAAAUUAAACCUCUGAACAAAGAACACACCUCCAAACCUAGACCCACCAUUCAAAGUGCUUACAGCAAAAUGAUCCAAUACACUUGAUCAACGAACCAAGCUACCCCAGGGAUAACAGCGCAAUCCUAUCCUAGAGUCCCUAUCGACGAUAGGGUUUACGACCUCGAUGUUGGAUCAGGACAUCCUAAUGGUGUAACCGCUAUCAAGGGUUCGUUUGUUCAACGAUUAAUAGUCCUACGUGAUCUGAGUUCAGACCGGAGUAAUCCAGGUCGGUUUCUAUCUAUAAAUGGGCUUUUUCUAGUACGAAAGGACCGAAAAGACAAGGCCUAUUUUUAAAAACAAGCCUUACCUUAUAUUAGUGAAAGCAACUUAACUAAUAAUAAGGACAAACCAUUUAACCCUAAAAAGGGGUUAU